AGAUUGAACGCUGGCGGCAUGCCUUACACAUGCAAGUCGAACGGUAGAGUAGCAAUACUCGAGAGUGGCGAACGGGUGAGUAAUAUAUCGGAACGUGCCCAGUCGUGGGGGAUAACGUAGAGAAAUUUACGCUAAUACCGCAUACGAUCUACGGAUGAAAGCGGGGGAUCGCAAGACCUCGCGCGAUUGGAGCGGCUGAUAUCAGAUUAGGUUGUUGGUGAGGUAAAAGCUCACCAAGCCGACGAUCUGUAGCUGGUUUGAGAGAACGACCAGCCACACUGGGACUGAGACGCGGCCCAGACUCCUACGGGAGGCAGCAGUGGGGAAUUUUGGACAAUGGGCGAAAGGCCUGAUCCUGCAAUGCCGCGUGCAGGAAGAAGGCCUUCGGGUUGUAAACGUGUACGUUUUGUACGGUAACGAAAGGCUACUUUACUAAUAAACGGGGACCCAGUACGAACGGUACCGUAAGAAUAAGACGACCGGACUAACUACGUAGCUAGCAGCCGACGGUAAUCGUGUA
rnacentral:rRNA from 1 species